GAUGAGAACGUAGCGAAUUGCGAUAAGUAAUGUGAAUUGCAGAAUUCAGUGAAUCAUCGAAUCUUUGAACGCAGCUUGCGCUCUCUGGUAUUCCGGAGAGCAUGCCUGUUUCAGUGUCAUGAAAUCUCAACCACUAGGGUUUCCUAAUGGAUUGGAUUUGGGCGUCUGCGAUCUCUGAUCGCUCGCCUUAAAAGAGUUAGCAAGUUUGACAUUAAUGUCUGGUGUAAUAAGUUUCACUGGGUCCAUUGUGUUGAAGCGUGCUUCUAAUCGUCCGCAAGGACAAUUACUUUGACUCUGGCCUGAAAUCAGGUAGGACUACCCGCUGAACUUAAGCAUAUCAAUAAGCGGAGGA
rnacentral:misc_RNA from 1 species